GAUGAAGAACGUAGCGAAAUGCGAUACUUGGUGUGAAUUGCAGAAUCCCGUGAACCAUCGAGUCUUUGAACGCAAGUUGCGCCCGAAGCCAUUAGGCCGAGGGCACGCCUGCCUGGGCGUCACACGUCGUUGCCCCCCCAUCUACUCCUUCGGGAUUGCGGGGGGCGGAUGAUGGCCUCCCGUGCGCCUCGUCGCGCGGUUGGCAUAAAUACCAAGUCCUCGGCGACGCACGCCACGACAAUCGGUGGUUGCGAAACCUCGGUUGCCCGUCGUGUGCGGUCGUCGCGCAUCGAGGGCUCGAAAAAAUUGCCGGGCUCCGGCUCGGCUUUCAACGCGACCCCAGGUCAGGCGGGGUUACCCGCUGAAUUUAAGCAUAUCAUAAGCGGAGGA
rnacentral:misc_RNA from 1 species